GCUUGUCUCAAAGAUUAAGCCAUGCAUGUUCAAGUAUAGCAAGUGUACAGUGAAACUGCGAAUGGCUCAUUAAAUCAGUUAUAAUUUAUUUGAUAGUGAAAUUGCUAAAUGGAUAACCGUGGCAAUUCUAGGGCUAAUACAUGCGUCAAUAGUCUCCGGACUAGUAUUUAUUAGAUACAAAGCCAGCCGUCAGGAUUAGGUGAAUCAUGAUAACUAAACGAAUCGCAAGCGCAAGCGGCGAUGGUUCAUUCAAAUUUCUGCCCUAUCAACUUUCGAUGGUACGGUAUUGGCCUACCAUGGUUACCACGGGUAACGGGGAAUUAGGGUUCGGUUCCGGAGAGGGGGCCUGAGAAAUGGCCACCACAUCCAAGGAAGGCAGCAGG
rnacentral:rRNA from 1 species